rnacentral:rRNA from 1 species
GACGAACGCUGGCUGCGUUCUUAACACAUGCAAGUCGAACGGAAAGGCCCUUCUUUUGUGGGGUGCUCGAGUGGCGAACGUGUGAGUAACACGUGAGUAACCUGCCCUUGACUUUUGUAUAACUUCAGGUAACUGUGUCUCAUACCGGAUAGGAGCUCCUGCUGCAUGGUGGGUGUUGGAAAGUUUCGGCGGUUGGGGAUGGACUCGCGGCUUAUCAGCUUGUUGGUGGGGUAGUGGCUUACCAAGGCUUUGACGGGUAGCCGGCCUGAGAGGGUGACCGACCACAUUGGGAAAGAGAUACGACCCAGACUCCUAAGGGAGGAAGCAGUGGGGAAUAUUGAACAAUGGGCGGAAGCGUGAUGCAGCAACGCAGCGUGCGGGAAGACGGCCUUCGGGUUGUAAACCGCUAUCGCCUGUGACGAAGAGUGAGUGACGGUAAUGGGUAAAGAAGCACCGGAUAACUACGUG